UACGGAAGGUCCGGGCGUUAUCCGGAUUUAUUGGGUUUAAAGGGAGCGUAGGCCGGCUUUUAAGUCAGCUGUGAAAGUCCGCGGCUCAACCGUGGAAUUGCAGUUGAAACUGGAGGCCUUGAGUGCACACAGGGGUGCCGGAAUUCAUGGUGUAGCGGUGAAAUGCUUAGAUAUCACGCAGAACUCCGAUUGCGAAGGCAGCUUACUAAGCCAUAACUGACACUGAAGCACGAAAGCGUGGGGAUCAAACAGG
rnacentral:rRNA from 1 species